CUGCCUGGUCCUGUGCUGUCCUCACAAUAGUAGAGUCAGCUUGAAUGUUGAAGGUUUCAUCAGUGAAGACAGGAGAGUAGAUCGAACCAGAUACUGAAGAGAUGGUAGUAGAAAUCCUGAACAGGUCGGCUGAGAGUGGCAAAAGAGAUGACAGUGAUGUCAGGAAAGAAGAUCUGGGGGAGAAAGACAGAAGUCUGGAAGCGUCAGGGGAGACAGAGAGCUACGCUGGCCUCCCAUUCUGGACCAGGAAAAAGGGUGUGGGUGAAGGAAUGCUGUCCUGGACGCAUAGCUGACCCUCGCGUUUUCACUAACACUACUAAAAAGUUCUAUGGAACUGUAACUUUUUGGAGGAUAAACUCCUAGAAAUGAGGUAAACAUAUAUAAAUAUUCCGUAGAAGCUUAACUUUUGUUCUGUUAUUUGAAGCCGUUGUGAUGGUUAAGAUUGU